ACAGAUGUAUCUAACCUUGGGCACCUCGUUAAGAAAGCAAUGUUGAACAAUGGCUGGGUGUAAUUGUCAAGCAAUCUUAAAUAAACUUACAUUGAACUAUUUGACAUCUCGACAACACACGCCAAGACAAGAAAUUAAAUCUCCAUAUUUUUUUUGGACGAGACCAACUUUUUGUUUGUUUUGAAUAUUGAAAACGAUAUAAUGAAAUUGUUUUGUCGCUGGGUGAAUGUGGUGUAAGAGAGAUUGUUUUGAAUGGAAGGCUGUUUUAUUAAAACGUACACAAGUGUAUCGACGUCACCUACUUUUACAGCCUAUAGUAGACUGGUUUAGGCCUAGAACAUAAAAUAGGGUGUAGGGUUGGUUUGAAAAUGUAGAGUUAAAAAUGGAAUGAAUAUUUGAAGAGAAAAAACAUAAUCAGAUACACAUUUAGUAAAAUGGUAUGUGUACUUGCUUUCAAAAGAUGUCUUGUAGAAACAGUUCUUUACAGAGCCUUGUCUCUGUUACAAGAGCAAUGUCUUUUUAGAUUUUAAUUGACAAUAUUAUGAGAAUUACAUAAACUGCCAUACAUGUAAAAUUUUGUUUAUUGCAUCUCCUUUGUUGGUCCACUCUCUCUCUCUCACACACACACACACACAUCAAAUAAUUAAGAGAAUGAUAAAAGCAAAUAGUUUCGGUUGACCUAAUAUAAGAGAAGCUUUUUUUUGGCAUUGUUUUUAGAAUUUUUAUAACUGUCCCAUCAAGAAGGACUGUUAAUCAACAAAAACUGAAUCCUCGUAGACAAGAAAAUUACUGUACAUGGAAACAGGUAAAGUUUUUAAAAAAUGAUUAUCGAUUGAGUGAAUAUAUGAGAUGUAUCAGUGUUUUGAACAUAUCUAUAGACAAAUUAUUCAUCUUGGUUUUAGGCUUCUGUCUUCUGUUUACGGUAGUUGAACAUUUUACCUUUGAAUUUGAUAUAAUGUUAAAAUCCUUCAGAUAAUAAAUCAGUGUCAGAUGUUCAAAUGUUUA
rnacentral:sRNA from 1 species